UGUUAUGUAAGGAGAAAUAUCUGAGAGUAGAAGUCCUGUGAAGCUGUAACUUGUGUCUGGGCUGCUGCACUUCAAAAGCAUGGGCAGGAAGAAAAGGUUCCAUUUUAAUUUUCUAUUUUUGCCUUGAGAGCUGGUAUUUGUACUAACUGUAUCGAUGUAUAGCCAAGCUAUAUUCUUGGACUCAGUUUUCCCAAUGGACCAGCUUCCCCCUUUGCAGCAUCAGUCUUGCAGCAGGAUCUUCGCAAGCCAGCUGCCCACGCAACCCCGUUGUCAUGUGGGCUGUAGAGUCAGCUUGUCUGAAAUCUCACAAAGUAAUUACCAGGGAACGUCUUGGGAGUGCAAAUAUAUCUGCUCAGCAUUCCUGGGAGGUUUGUGCAGGAGUUUAAGCUGAUACAGAAGACUAUUAAAAUGAAAUGCAGUAUAAUGGCAGUAUGAAAAGACUGGAAAUUUUGCAAGUGAUGGAGCAGAAACGCCAUUCAUCAUCCCAGAGUGGAGACUGUAGGCCGGGUUGGAUGUUCAGCAGCAAGCCCUCUCGUGCACUCUGUAGGGCCAUGGAAGUUGGUUGUUCCUGAAGACUGUUCAAAGACAUCUUUUCUGAGAAAUAUUUGCAUGACUUCAGAUUUGGGAACAAAGAUUUUCUCUUCUGUUGAGCCGCUGCUCUGACUUCUGCCUGAUUUGGUCAGUAUCGAUUUUGUCUUCUCAAAAUGCUCUUGGU